rnacentral:lncRNA from 1 species
AAAACGGUAUAUGCAUAUUCAUUUUCGUUCAUUCUUAUAUUGUGGUUAAUAACUACGACCAUUCGUCAGCUGUGCGCUUUAAAUUACGUAUAUUGUCGAUAAGCUAUAACAUAGAUGCCAACCCCCUUUUGACACAAUCAGUAACAAACUAUCAAAUUUUCCGUAUUCUUGAAAAGUUUUCAGUAAUCAUUCAUAAACGUGCAUUUACCAAUAAAAAUUACUGACGAGUGGUUGCAAAGUGAUGUACACUAAAAUUUGUCAUUUAACAUGUUGUCUGUAGUAUGUAUUCCAUUCAUUAAUUGUUCAGAUGUUCUCGACUCAAACAUUUUUGUUUUGUCAAGGAGAAGUAGAGAAAGGGGGAAAGCUACUUAAUAAAAUGCAAGUUUGCCUCUUCGGAAGUCAGUUAGUUACCCAACAAUAGGUUGAUAACUCCCGAGAAACCGGAAGCAUUACAUUGGCGUUUCCUAAAUACU